CUCCUUUUUAAAAAUAAAAGGUAGGCUCUGCUCCAUGAAAAAAUUAAAUAGCCGCAGUAUCCUGACUGUGCUAAGGUAGCAUAAUAAUUUGUUUUAUAAUAGAAAACUUGAAUGAAAGAGCUGACGGUGCUGCCCCUUUCUCUGAAAAUAAAAUUGAAAUUAACCUUUGCAUAAAAAGGUGCAGAUACCUAAAGGGACGAUAAGACCCUGUAAAGCUUACACUUAAAUAAAGAUUAUAGACCUUUGUAUUUCUUACGUGAGUUCAGCUGGGGCGGCUUCUAUUUCUCCUUAGAAUAUUUAACAAAAAUGUUUGAAAAUAAAGAUCUUAUUACAGAUAUAGAACAAGCUACUUCAGGGAUAACAGCAUAAUUUUUUUUUAUAGUUCCCAUAGAUAAAAAAGACUUAUGACCUCGAUGUUGAAUUGAGAAAUUCUUUUUAAGCAGAAAUAAAAAUGAUAGGUCUGUUCGACCUUUAAAUUCUC
rnacentral:rRNA from 1 species